GACGAACGCUGGCGGCGUGCCUAAUACAUGCAAGUCGAGCGAAUCAUUAGGAGCUUGCUCCUGAUGGUUAGCGGCGGACGGGUGAGUAACACGUGGGCAACCUGCCUGUAAGACUGGGAUAACACCGGGAAACCGGUGCUAAUACCGGAUAAUUCUUUUCCUCACAUGAGGGAAAGCUGAAAGUCGGUUUCGGCUGACACUUACAGAUGGGCCCGCGGCGCAUUAGCUAGUUGGUGAGGUAACGGCUCACCAAGGCGACGAUGCGUAGCCGACCUGAGAGGGGGAUCGGCGACACUGGGACUGAGACACGGCCAAGACUCCUACGGGAGGCAGCAGUAGGGAAUCUUCCGCAAUGGACGAAAGUCUGACGGAGCAACGCCGCGUGAGUGAUGAAGGCCUUCGGGUCGUAAAACUCUGUUGUUAGGGAAGAACAAGUAUCGGAGUAACUGCCGGUACCUUGACGGUACCUAACCAGAAAGCCACGGCUAACUACGUGCCAGCCGCCGCCGUAA
rnacentral:rRNA from 1 species